rnacentral:misc_RNA from 1 species
CGCACAUUGCGCCCCUCGGUAUUCCGGGGGGCAUGCCUGUUCGAGCGUCAUUACACCCCUCAAGCUUGGCUUGGUAUUGGGCCCUCGCCCCCGCGGCGUGCCCGAAAAGCAGUGGCGGUCCGGCGUGACUUUAAGCGUAGUAAAUUUCAAUCCCGCUUUGAAAGUUCGCGUCGUGGCUUGCCAGGCAACCCUCACGUAGAUUGUUUACCCACUAGACGUGAUCUCAAUAAUUGACCUCGGAUCAGGUAGGGAUACCCGCUGAACUUAA